rnacentral:rRNA from 1 species
UGGGGAAUCUUGCGCAAUGGGGGAAACCCUGACGCAGCGACGCCGCGUGGAGGAUGAAGGUCUUCGGGUUGUAAACUCCUUUUCUUGGGGAAAAUGGUGAUGGUACUCAAGGAAUAAGCCACGGCUAACUCUGUGCCAGCAGCCGCGGUAAGACAGAGGUGGCGAGCGUUGUUCGGAAUUACUGGGCUUAAAGGGCGAGUAGGCGUCCCGGUAAGUCAGCUGUGGAAUCUUUUUGCUUAACGAAAAAAUUGCAUCUGAAACUAUCGGGAUUGAGUCAGUGAGGGGAGGGCGGAAUUCCUGGUGUAGCGGUGAAAUGCGUAGAUAUCAGGAGGAAGGCCUGUGGCGAAGGCGGCCCUCUGGCACUGUACUGACGCUGAGGCGCGAAAGCGUGGGGAGCAAA